UACGAAGGGGGCUAGCGUUGUUCGGAAUUACUGGGCGUAAAGGGCGCGUAGGCGGUCCUGAUCGUCGGAUGUGAAAGGCCUGGGCUCAACCUGGGAAUGGCAUCCGAUACGGCGGGACUGGAGUGUGGGAGAGGUUGGUGGAAUUCCCAGUGUAGAGGUGAAAUUCGUAGAUAUUGGGAAGAACACCCGUGGCGAAGGCGGCCCUCUGGCUCGACCCUGACGCUGAGGCGCGAAAGCGUGGGGAGCGAACGGG
rnacentral:rRNA from 1 species